UUAAGGGAAAAGCAUAUAAUAAAUAUUUCUUAGUAAUAAAUACUAUAAAACCAAUGAGAAUAGUGAUUUUUCUCUCAUACUUCACCCUUGUCUAAGCAAACUAUCCCUCUAUCUUUCCCUUUUAUUUCCAUCCUCAUGAAGUGCCUCACCUAAUUUGGUGCCACACCCAUUUCUCUCCUACAUGGGGUGGCUACAAUCCUUGUUAUCUCCCUUGAAGAAACUAUGGCUUCGCACUCAUUCGGCUCAAAACAAGAGAAGAGGGAUAUACAUUUUGUAUGAGGAUGUGAAGUCUUGCCAAUAUGAAGAUGUACAUGUUUUGUGGUCGAUACUAGUGGAAUCGUCGUCGUCACAUAAACCAGCAGCAUUAUUGCCAUCUACACAAGCGAAGCUCCUAUGCCCACCUCCUAAACAAGUUAAUGAGAGAGGAUAACACACAAUCAUAUCAUUUUGGUGGGUUUCCAUUUGUACAUAGGUUUUUUUUUUUUUUUUAUUAUAAUUUAAUGUGUUUUUGGUACAUAUUAUAAUAUAAUGUAAGCCUUUUUUCGGUUUGCAGUGUGAACAUCAACUUAGAUUGAAUAAGAAGUUCCGUAAUUUUGAAAUUAAA